GACGAACGCUGGCGGCGUGCCUAAUACAUGCAAGUCGAACGAGAGCGACCGGUGCUUGCACUGGUCAAUCUAGUGGCGAACGGGUGAGUAACACGUGGGUAACCUGCCCAUCAGAGGGGGAUAACAUCCGGAAACGGAUGCUAAAACCGCAUAGGUCUUCGAACCGCAUGGUUUGAAGAGGAAAAGAGGCGCAAGCUUCUGCUGAUGGAUGGACCCGCGGUGCAUUAGCUAGUUGGUGAGGUAACGGCUCACCAAGGCCGCGAGGCAUAGCCGACCUGUGAGGGUGAUCGGCCACAUUGGGACUGAGACACGGCCCAAACUCCUACGGUAGGCAGCAGUAGGGAAUCUUCCGCAAUGGACGCAAGUCUGACGGAGCAACGCCGCGUGAGUGAAGAAGGUGUUCGGAUCGUAAAACUCUGUUGUUAGAGAAGAACAAGUGCUAGAGUAACUGUUAGCGCCUUGACGGUAUCUAACCAGAAAGCCACGGCUAACUACGUG
rnacentral:rRNA from 1 species